AAAAAGAAGGAAAAAAAAA
rnacentral:sRNA from 1 species